GUGUGUGUGUGUGUGUGUGUGUGUUUCCCUCAGUGGAGUGAGGAGGACUCUGACAUCCCUCUGCUCACACUGUGUGUUAAUGUUGUGUGUGUGUGUGUGUGUGUGUGUUUGUGUGUCCCUCAGUGGAGUGAGGAGGACUCUGACAUCCCUCUGCUCACACUGCGAGAUCUGAAGCCUCACACAGAGUACUGCCUACGAGUGUGUGUGUUCAGCAGCAACUAUGACAAAACCAGCAACUACACACACGCACAGUGCACUCAGACACACGGCCGCCGUCCAGUGUGGCAGGUGACUGUAGGUGUGUGUUUGGUUGUGUGUGUGUUGGUACUGCUCACUCUCACACACUUACUGAGAAAAAAGCCAAAGAAGUCUCCAAAAUACACACCCUCCAGCUUACAGGGUCCUCCACUAUCCCAUCUCUCCCUGCUGCACGUGGGACUGGAGCCUUGCUCCCAGGUUGCCGUGGAGACACUGGUGACCGUGGCGACGGUGGAGGUGCUGAGGGAGAGGGGAGGAGAGGAGGCGGGACCAGAAGAGGAGGCGUGGCCAGGAGAGGAGGCGGGGCGAGGAGAGGAGAGGAGGAGGCGUGUGUGUGAGGACUCAGGCGUGUAUUCUGGAGAGGACAGUUCAGACUCUAGCAUCAGCACCUCCUCACAGCAUCACACACACAAACACACACACACACACACACACACACACACUCCUGAUCAUGUAGUCUUACUGUGAACACACACACACACACACUCAGACCGGAGGAGAGGAGAGCUGGCAGGAAGACUUCGGAAUUAACUGACAUGGACUAAGUUUAGAAAACAAUGAUACACACACACACACACACACAGGAAAUGGAUCUCUUCUCUCCUCUACCUCUGAUCCCUGAGACCAGCAGACUGCUGUCUUGUGUAGGAACGCUGGUGGAGUGGGAUGAAGAAAUGCCCAUUUAACUAAAGAGUUUUAUAGUCUCUUUGUACAUUAAAAUGAUAAAGAAGAAAUCUCCAUUUAACUAAAGAGUUUUAUAGUUUAUUUUUACAUUAAAAUGAUAAAGAAGAAAAGUCCAUUUAAC